rnacentral:misc_RNA from 1 species
AUAAGGAAUCAUUUAAAAUGGAGAGAUCGGAAAUCAUGAUACCCAUUUUCGAUGGAUAUUUACGGUAUGUGGAAGCAAAGAAUAACGAUGUUUCUCAAAUAUAAAGAAUGCGAGAUUGUCACAACUAGGGUGAAGACAGAAACAGACAAUGAAGACUGGGACAAAAAGGAUUUGAAGGCAAUAAAUAUAAUUUAUAGUGCCGUCACAAAUAGACAAUUGGAAUAUAUUAGAGAAGAAAAAACGGCGUAUGA